rnacentral:rRNA from 1 species
AACGAACGCUGGCGGCAUGCCUAACACAUGCAAGUCGAACGAGAUCUUCGUAUCUAGUGGCGCUCGGGUGCGUAACGCGUGGGAAUCUGCCCCUGGCUUCGGAAUACCAGUGAUUAAUUACUGCUAAUACCGGAUGAUCUCUUCGGACCAAAGAUUUAUCGGCAAGGGAUGAGCCCGAGUAGGAUUAGGUAGUUGGUGGGGUAAUGGCCUACCAAGCCGACGAUCCUUAGCUGGUCGGAGAGGAUGAUCAGCCACACUGGGACUGAGACACGGCCCAGAAUCCUACGGGAGGGAGCAGUGGGGAAUAUUGGACAAUGGGCGAAGGCCUGAUCCAGCCAUGCCGCGUGAGUGAUGAAGGCCGUAGGGUUGUAAAGCUCUUUUACCAGGGAUGAUAAUGACAGUACCUGGAGAAUAAGCUCCGGCUAACUCCGUG